CUAAAUGACCUGAUGUGAUUUUUUAUUUCCGUUUUUAUUUAUUUAUUUAUUUUUGCUGGUCCCAGUCCUGUAAAAUAUAUAACACAGUCUAAUACACGACGCUAUUGAAUACAACUGGGAAAGUUUAGUUACAACUUUGCAGGCUCUUUGACAAACGUGUCGGGCUUGUCUCGCGCAAAGAGCGCCAAACGUGCGGAGAAAAAACCGUUUAAGCACCAUUCCGCUUUUGCUUCAGGCUGACUGUGAUCCUGAUGACCCUGAAAUUCUCAGCAGUCCAGCACCUUCAUUCUUGUGCAAUUUUUGAAGUCCCUCACUGCAGACAAGAACUGACAGUAGCCCUCCUUCCUACACGCCCUUUCCGCUGACCUUUCCUGUCUGCUUUUCUCGGGUCCAGGCGAGAGUGAUGAAGCUUCUCAGUGCUCAGGCCAGUAUGACUAAGACAGAACAAGAUUACCUGUGACAUGGGCAGGGGAACAGAGGCACUAGAGUGUUUGUUCAGUGACACGGGUGUGCUGCAGUGCAUUGUGGGGCCGGAGUCGAUGCAUGUUCCAAUGAACUGCCUCAUUCGUCUCGAUAUGACCAGUCCGUGCUCUCUCUCUCUCUCUCUCCCUAAUGGGUAGGAACAGCUGUGAAAAAGAGCAGCUCACACUAACAUCAGCCAUUAUUUCAUUACUCUGAAUGUUGAAGUGUGCAGAGAGCCGAAGUACGUUAAUGACGACAGCACCAUGUCAACAUGGAUUGGAUGUGGCAUUUAUUACAGAUAUUGCAGGCUCUAUCAUACUGAUGCAUUACGCACAUGAUUGUGCGAAAUGCUGAAAGUGAACAUGCGUUUUUAUAUUGACUGACUUUAUUUCAUGUUA